rnacentral:rRNA from 2 species
UGUUAGCGGCGGACGGGUGAGUAACACGUGGGUAACCUGCCUGUAAGACUGGGAUAACUCCGGGAAACCGGAGCUAAUACCGGAUAGUUCCUUGAACCGCAUGGUUCAAGGAUGAAAGACGGUUUCGGCUGUCACUUACAGAUGGACCCGCGGCGCAUUAGCUAGUUGGUGGGGUAAUGGCUCACCAAGGCGACGAUGCGUAGCCGACCUGAGAGGGUGAUCGGCCACACUGGGACUGAGACACGGCCCAGACUCCUACGGGAGGCAGCAGUAGGGAAUCUUCCGCAAUGGACGAAAGUCUGACGGAGCAACGCCGCGUGAGUGAUGAAGGUUUUCGGAUCGUAAAGCUCUGUUGUUAGGGAAGAACAAGUGCGAGAGUAACUGCUCGCACCUUGACGGUACCUAACCAGAAAGCCACGGCUAACUACGUGCCAGCAGCCGCGGUAAUACGUAGGUGGCAAGCGUUGUCCGGAAUUAUUGGGCGUAAAGGGCUCGCAGGCGGUUUCUUAAGUCUGAUGUGAAAGCCCCCGGCUCAACCGGGGAGGGUCAUUGGAAACUGGGAAACUUGAGUGCAGAAGAGGAGAGUGGAA